rnacentral:tRNA from 1 species
AAUGUAGCUCAGCUGGUUAGAGCGCUGCCCUGAUAAGGCAGAGGUCGAUGGUUCAAGUCCAUUCAUU